GAUGAACGCUGGCGGCGUGCUUAACACAUGCAAGUCGAACGGACAUCUCACUUUUCGGAGAGGGAUGUUAGUGGCAAACGGGUGCGUAACACGUAGGAAUCUGCCCUGAAGGUGGGGACAACGGCUGGAACGGUCGCUAAACCCGCAUAGUCUCGCGCAAGCGAGUAAAGCUUUAUGCGCUUUAGGAGGAGCCUGCGGCCUAUCAGGUAGUUGGUGGGGUAAAAGCCUACCAAGCCGACGACGGGUAGGGGCGUGAGAG
rnacentral:rRNA from 1 species